GUUGAUAUGUUGUUAACUUAAUUUUUAAAAUCUGCAUUAAUUAAAUGAUUAUAUGUUUGUAUAUGUCCUAUUAAAUGAGUCACCUGCAUAACAUGCAUAAGUGAUAAUAUAUGUUUCAUUGUGUAAAAAAGUGAUAAUUAAUUUUAUUCAGACUUUAUAUAUAGAAAAUAUUGAGUUUUUUAUUCAACCAAUCUGAUUAUUGUGUGCUCAUCAAACACAGAUAAACUAAAUUUUUCAAUUACAUAAAGUAUUUUUUUAAAUCAGAAUUUUAGAACCCUGCUACAGUGAAUGGCCAAAUGUUGUUUUAUCCAAAGUUAUCACCUACACAGUUUAAGUUCUAUGGGACUUUUUUUUUCAUUUGUAACUGUUUUCAUCUAUGAUCAAACACAGAUCUAUCUAUACGUAUUUUUAAUAAAUACAACAAUAACUGUCAAAACUAUGCAUUUUAAUGUGAUUUACACAAAAUGAAACAAAAUUUCGAAUGUACAAAGUUACAAAAAUACUGAAGUCCGAGAAGUUAUUAUCAUUCUGUCGUUUAUUAACUAUUUUGAAUUUUAUGGUGAUUGAAUGAUCAACAUUAUAUCAUCUAAAUACGAUAUGAUAGAAAUGAAAUACGAGGCACGUAUGUUAUUUUUUUUUUCAUUUGAAUAAACAUUUUUUUAUUUUUUCAUAUCAUUUCCGUGUAAACUAUCAUAUAACCACAUAGUUAUAGUCAUGCUUUACAUAUUGUAGCCUUUUUUACUUUAAUUGAAUUAUAACAGAAAACAUUUCAAUAGACUGGAGUGUUGAUGAUAGUUGUUUGAUGUAUCUUACUUUUGAAUAAGGUUAAAAACCAUUUAAAUGAUUAUGGUGUUUAAUGCUAAAAUAUAUUGAUAUAUGUUAUAGAUGUUAAUAAGUGUAUUUUAUUGUGUGUUUUACAGUAUCACAUUACUCGUUUUAGAGUGGCUCUUUUAUAAAUCGAUCUGUUAAUAUUAUAUUAUGUUUUAUAUUAAAUAUUUUAAAAAGUUGAGACUCAAGUCAAUUAUUUGUUGUUGCUGUUGUCAAAUAUUUGGUAUUGUUUUGCAUAAAACUCUGGAAUAAUAAAUUUAUCUUAAAAUUGAAAGUUAACUUAUUUAUCUCUCUUUUUCAGAUAUAAAACUGAAGAAAUUCAUGACAAAUACUUGUACAUUUGUACAAAAAGCACAUACAUCAUAUUUUCAUAUUUGAUCACUACUAACUAUAUGACAAAUUGGUUAAUGCAUUGUACAUUAUAAAAAAAACAAUGGAAAACCAUUAUUUGUAUUUAAAACAUAUCAAUUUUAAAGAAAAAUCUAUACAUCGGUUGGUAGGGAUAUGAAGUUUCUAAGACAUUUUUUUAUGCUGAUUUGAUGUGCUUUCUAUCCAGAUGUUCCUCUAAUUUGAAAGAGUUGAAUCAAAUUAUUUCAACUUAAUUGUAUGCACAAUAUAUCAUACCAUAUAUGACAUUACUGUAACAUGACCGAAAAACUAGAAAAUACUAAUCUGUAGAAUAAUGAAUAAAUUUUUUUUAUGUUGAAUUAUUUGCUUGAUUUUUCAAUGUACCUAAUUUAACACAUUAUAAUAGAUUUCGUACAUAUAUUUCAUUCACUUGGGGUUUUUAAUUUGGAACAAAUAAUUCUAGACUAUCAAGUCCUGAAAGUAAUAGGUUUGUACUUCCACAUGUUUCGUCUUUUACUGUUUGGUUUUGUUCAUGUCUUAGAUUUGGUGUACAAGGCUUGAUGCUGUUUAAAAACCUCCAAUAUUUAUAUUUUAUAGGUACUUAUUCUACAGAAAUGAACCAAAUGAAAGAUAUCAGAGGGUUAAUUCAAACUAAUAAAUCGAACAAAAAUCUGACAACGUCAUGGCUAAAUAUGAAAAAGUCAAUCAACUAAUAUGACACAAAACACAUCACAGAAAAUGAUAAAGACUAAGCAACACGAACCCCACCAAGAAUUCGGAGGGUCUCGCGUUGUCUGGAAGGGUAAGCAGAUCCUGCGCAACAUGUUGCACACGUCAUGUUGCUCCUGUUAGUACAAACCCGGUAAUAUGUUUACUUUGUAGGUCACAUUUAAAAAAGGGAACAAGAUUGUAGUUACAUCAUAGGGAACAUAUCCGAUGUCUUCUGUGCAACAGAUAUUCCAUAACGGUCAACCAAAUUGUGAUAGGGUCCAUAAAAUUUACGAAGGGAUAAUUAAAACUUCACCAUUUUGAACACUUCUUUUAAAAGCUUCCUUGUGAGCAGCAAGAAAUUCCGACUCAUUCAAUUUUUCUUUUAUUUUCAAUUUUUUUCAAAAAACGUAUUUAAAGUGUAAAAAAGUCAAAUGUUUUAAUACUAAUGCACGAUGAUAAAGUUUUAGAUUUGUUUGUAUUUUAAAGGAUCUUUUGAUUUUUGUAGUUUCCACAUCUGAUUCACGUAACCUCCAGACUAGGCAGUUUGGCAAUACCUUUAGCCCUAUUUUAACUGCUGAUAAAAUUGAUGUGUUUAAUAUGGAAAGUAGUUUUGUGGAGCACUUGUAAGACCCAACAAUAAACCAUUGUUUGUAGGGACACUUAUGUAAUUUAGUUAUCUAAUACUGUCCAGCUCUUCAUCGUUGAAUGAAAUUUAAAAUGAACAUAUAACAGAUCUAAUAGUAUCUAGGAUUUCCUCUUGAGUGAAUGUCGUGGGGGUAUAUGUUGAGUUUGUGUAAAUUAUAAAUACCUAAUUCAUCUAUCAAGCAGUUUAUUUAAUGUGAGCUACACACAAACACACAAAACGAUUUUUGUUUGUGCUUCACAUGCAGGGACAUCAACAUAUUUGUUAUGGACAAGUGCCUUAUAACAGUAUUUGGGUCUUUAGGUUUGAUAUAGCGUGGAUAUUAUAGGGCCCAAUCAGUUACUUAACUCUAACUUGAAUUAACGAUCUCAUAUCUUUAAUCCAUUCGAAAAUAGUAUCUACACAUUGCCGCCCUUGUUGUGACUUGCAUAAUCCUUGACUCAAUACAUCAAAAUUAAAAAGAAAUAUGAACAUAUCAAGUUUUAAACAAAUACAAGCCAAGCAAGUCUGUGAUGAUGUGAAAAGACACUUGUGAAACGUGGAAGUAUUUUGCUACAGUUUAUCAUUUCAUAACGUCGUUCUCCCACCAGACGACUGUUUGUUAAUUGAUGGAAUUUAACGUCACCCAUCAUGACCAAGAUCCAUAAUGUUUUAUAAUUAUCU
rnacentral:lncRNA from 1 species